rnacentral:lncRNA from 1 species
UAUUCUUGAAAAUGUUUCACUGGACUCUUUUGUUCAUUUAGGGCUCCUGGAGCUCUGUGUUGCAGAGAUUCAAGGGGGCUUCUGGGCGGAACAGCGUUUUCAUCCACCGCUUCGAUGGAGGCAGAGCUCCUACGUUUAGGACUUCGGGUUGGAUGUGGUUCUGAGAGAAAACAAACAAAAACGAAAGCAAAGUAAACACCAGGGCUUAAGAGGGUUGGGGUGAGAUUCGCAUGUCCAGCU